UGGGGAAUAUUGGACAAUGGGGGGAACCCUGAUCCAGCCAUGCCGCGUGUGUGAAGAAGGCCUUAUGGUUGUAAAGCACUUUAAGCGAGGAGGAGGGUACUGGUAUUAAUACUACCAGCUACUGGACGUUACUCGCAGAAUAAGCACCGGCUAACUCUGUGCCAGCAGCCGCGGUAAUACAGAGGGUGCGAGCGUUAAUCGGAUUUACUGGGCGUAAAGCGCGCGUAGGUGGUUCGUUAAGUUGAAUGUGAAAGCCCCGGGCUCAACCUGGGAACUGCAUCCAAAACUGGCGAGCUAGAGUAGGGCAGAGGGUGGUGGAAUUUCCUGUGUAGCGGUGAAAUGCGUAGAUAUAGGAAGGAACACCAGUGGCGAAGGCGACCACCUGGGCUCAUACUGACACUGAGGUGCGAAAGCGUGGGGAGCAAACAGG
rnacentral:rRNA from 1 species